UGACGCUGUAGACGCUGCGCACGGUCCCUAUUUCCGGACAGUAAGCAGAGAUGUCGCAACGGUCGUUUUGUCGGUAAAAAGAUUUAGCAACUGAGUUCUGUAUAGUUAGCGGAAUAAAACAACAAUUCUUAUUUUUUAUUGUUGCUACUGGCAGUUAGCAACUGGCAGGCGACAGGGAGAUUCUCAACUUUUCUUCACAGUCGAAUAUUGGUCUCAAGUACACAGAACGCAAUCUUCACCUUACCUUAUAACACGAGGAAGUAUGACUCUCUUCCCUUUAGUUGAUGGAAGAGGCGCUUUCGAAUCAGCAGCAGCUUCUCGCUCAUCCACUCAAGGCGCUCAAGGGGCUAUGUUCGAAAGGCCAGUGCACGGUCUUACAUACAGGUCUUGAAACGAAGGUAGUGGGGGUGGCUCUCUUAACGUGUGCUCAAUUAUUUCACUUUGUGGCCGCCAGAUCGGCGUUGUGAUCGAGGGAUGGAUAAUCAACGCAUGCGCGAUGCACAAUAGCCCUAAUAAAAAGAAAUAUUAUUAUUAUUGUUGUUAUAAGUAUUGAAUUUUUAUGAAUAAAAGUAGUUAAUUAAUAU